AGGCUGGGCGCAGCCCGGGCGGGGGGGGGAUCACACUUCAGUCAGGAGGAACCACAGGGCCGCGUGGCGCCCGCCUGCCUGAGCCUGGAGGGGGCUAGGAAGUCAGCCGCAGGCAGAGGACCCAGGACCCACAGAGCCCCCUCGCCCUGGAGCUGGUCUGGAGUUUGAGCGGGGAGAGGGAGCCAGGGUCAGGAGGAGCCGGGCCAGCUGGACUGCAGGCAGGACCAGAGGUUCUCUGAGGACCCUCCCAGAGUGACAGGCCGGAGUGGAAGCGCAUCUUGCGCUGUGGGGACAGACACGCUGACACAGACUGAGGAUAAAGACUUUAAUCUGGGCCCUUUGUGCCCAUGGCUCCAGUUCAGACAAGGGGAUGGGAUCUCCCUCACUGUGGCUCUUCUUCGUCUCUGGAAGGCCUCCCCUGGACCCAGGCGCUCAGAGUGGGGGCGGUGAACACCAACGGUGGAGGUCCCAGGUGGUCCCGGGAGACAGUCAGGAGUCUGGGGUGAGGAGGCUUCAAGACCUCUCAAGGCUUUGCAGUCUGGGCGCCGUGGCUCAUGCCUGUAAUCCCAGCACUUUGGGAGGCCGAGGCAGGUGGAUGGCCUGAGGUCAGGAGUUCAAGACCAGCCUGACCAACAUGGUGAAAACCCGUUGGUGGCGUGGUGGCCGGGCACCUGUAUUCCCAGCUACUCGGGAGGCUGAGGCAGGAGAAUCGCUUGAACCUGGGAGGCAGAGGUUGCAGUGAGCCGAGAUCACACCAUUGCACUCCAGCCUGGGCGACAGCGCGAGACUCCGUCUCAAAAAAAAAAAAAAAGAAUCCUUUUAUACAUGCUCUUGGAAACAAUUCUCCUAUCUUUAUGCUGAUUCCCUCAUUGUGCAUAAAACCUGUUAAUAAAACAGAAGCUAAUAAAU